AUGAAGCGCUGCUUCAGCCUCGCAGCGGCGCUGGCCGUCGUGACCCUGGCCGCGCUUCUCUCGUCGGGCGCCGUGGUCGCAUGCAUCGACGUGGGCUUCUACGACACGACCUGCCCGUCGGCCGAGACCCUGGUGCAGCAGACCGUGGCCGCCGCCUUCGGCAACGACUCCGGCGUCGCUCCGGCCAUCAUCCGCCUCCACUUCCACGACUGCUUCGUCAAGGGGUGCGACGGCUCCGUGCUGAUCGACUCGACGCCUGGCAACAAGGCGGAGAAGGACUCGGCGCCCAACUUCCCCAGCCUCCGCUUCUUCGACGUGGUGGACCGCGCCAAGGCGGCCCUCGAGGCGCAGUGCCCCGGCGUCGUCUCCUGCGCCGACGUCCUCGCCUUCGCGGCGCGGGACAGCGUCGUGCUGUCGGGCGGCCUCGGGUACCAGGUGCCCGCAGGGCGCCGGGACGGCCGUGUGUCCACCGAAGCGGACGCGCUCAACAACCUGCCCGGGCCGACGUCCACCGCCUCCGACCUGGUCGCCGGCUUCGCCGCCAAGAACCUCACCGUCGAGGACAUCGUCGUCCUCUCCGGCGCCCACACCAUCGGCGUCUCCCACUGCAGCAGCUUCACCGAGCGAAUCUACAACUUCCCAACACAACCGACGGAAUUGACCCGAAGCUGA
rnacentral:rRNA from 1 species